UACGUAGGGGGCAAGCGUUGUCCGGAUUUACUGGGCGUAAAGAGCGUGUAGGCGGCCAAGCAGGUCCGUUGUGAAAACUGGAGGCUUAACCUCCAGACGUCGACGGAAACCGCGUGGCUAGAGUCCGGAAGAGGAGAGUGGAAUUCCUGGUGUAGCGGUGAAAUGCGCAGAUAUCAGGAAGAACACCAAUGGCGAAGGCAGCUCUCUGGGACGGUACUGACGCUGAGGCACGAAGGCCAGGGGAGCAAACGGG
rnacentral:rRNA from 1 species